GGCUGGAGAUGUCGCUCUUGGGUACACUUGCCAAGCAUAUCCAAGGCCUUGGACAUCAGUUACCAGCAUGUGUUUUGCCUGGUGUCCACAAAAGCCACAAGAAGAUAUUGGAUCCCCUGGAAAUGAAGUUCCUGGGAGUUGUGAGCCUUCAUGUGCCUGCUGAGACUUGAACCCAGGAAGAGGAGCUUAGCCAUUGCCACAGGUUUGCUGGCCUGAGCAUCCUCUCAGCCAACCCAGCCUGCCAGUGCUCCCCAACUUCCCAACCUACCAGGGCUAUCCAACUUCCCAGACUUUUCUUCCCCCACCCCCCCACCCCCCAUUGAAAUAUCUUGAGUGGCCAAGAUCUUUCUAUGUAAGCAUGAGAUCAGAUCUCCAGCAGCUUCCUGGAGCCAGAUGCAGCAGCACAUCUACCUGUGGUCUCUGCUCUCAGCCAUCUGAGCUGUGCGGACAGGAGACUCCUCAGACGCGUUCUAUGCCUGCUACAUGUCACACCAUGGCGGUGAAGGAGUCUCAGAUAAAGUGGAAGACCCCUGAGGACCCCAGUCACCUCUCAGCGGAAGGUGAAAGAGAACACCUACCUGUGCCUGUUCCCAUGGCUUCCCACCGCGUUCUCCCCACCGUAUGGUACUAAUCCACUGUGGCUUCAUGGCGGAGGGAGGGGAUGGGGGCAUUCCCAUGUUCUAAAAUUCACUCGUGUGUUGAGUGAGUUUUGGCACAUGCCAACAAUCCUGUGCUCCGCACACAAUCAAGUCUUGGAGCAUUUCUUUCCUUUUUGAAUUUUAUGCAUAUAGGUAUUUUACCCGAAUGCAUGUCUGUGCACAGUGUGUGUGUGCCUGGUGCCUGCAGAGGUCAGAAAAGGGUCAGAUCCUUUGGUGUUAUAGACAGUUGUGAUCCAUCGCCAUAUGGGUGCCAAGCACUGAACACAGUCUGUGUGUUUAACAUCCAAGCCAUCUCUCCAGUCACUUUCUUGUUUUGGUUUUGAGAGGAUCUCACCACGCAGCUCUGUCAUGCCUGGAACUCAUUCUGUGGGCCAGGCUGACCUUGAACUCACAGAAGCAACCUGCCUCUGAGAAGACCAGAAUUUGGUUCCCAGAAUUCACAUUCCCCGCUGCUAUCAAUCUCUGUAACUUCAGUUCCGGGGAAUCCAUCGCCCCCUCCAUCCUCCAUGGGCACUGCACUCACAUGGUACCCUGACAUAUGUG